ACACCAUGUUAAAAGCAUCUGUGAAGUGUUAACAAACAUGUGUAUACAAAUGUGCCUCUUGAAUGAAGUGACAUGUACGAAAACGAUGGAGAAACGAAUGUUUGCUGGUACUAAAACGUUAAAAACGCUUUUCUUGGAUUAUGUGGAACAUAAAAAUGGUGCGAAAUUAUAAAAGAAAAAGUAAAAGAGGAAUGAUUUCUUAAGAUACAAUGCUAAAAGCAGUUUUAGAAGUAAAAGAAAAAGAAAGAUCUGUGAGGGUUACUAGUGAGAUAUUUGGAAUUCCAAGAAAAACUUUGGGGAAGUACUGUGCUAAGUACAUACAGACCACAUGUCAGCCUACACAGUCAAUUGAACUUCAGUAAGCUGAAACUGAACCUCAACCCAUGCCAGUGGACCAAAACCCUCUGCCUGGAGGAGUCCUACAAAUACUUAAUGACAAAAAGAAGCCUUGGGAUAAAUUUGGCUAUGAUUAAAGAUUUCAGAUAUUUAAUUCCGAACAAGAAGAUAUGCUUCAACAAUACCUCAUGAAGGCAAGUGACAUACCGUAUGUUAUGGUCUUUCCGCAAAAGAAGUCAGACGGUUUGCGUAUAGAUAUGCUAUUGCAUACAACAAUAAAAUACUCCAAACAUGAACUGAGACCGAAAUGGCGGUAAGUGAUUGGUUCACAGGAUUCUUGAAGAGGCACCCUCAACUCUCCAUUCAAACAACUAGUUUAGCUCGGUGCACCAGUUUCAACAAGCAUAAUGUAGAACUGUUUUUUCAUAAUCUCGACAUAGUUUUAAAAAGAUUAAAAGUGACCCCUGCGGACAUCUGGAACAUUGCCGAAACUGGAGCAACUACCGUCCAGCAUCCUGAUCGUUUAGUCGCUCGAAGAGGUUUUCGCCAAAUACGGCUGAGAGAGGGUCAUUUAUUAUGAUCGCAUUUGCAGUUAGUGUGUUAGAUAAUAGUGUGCCUCCAUUCUUCAUCUUGCUGAGGGUCAACUUCAAGCCUCAUUUUAUCCUUGACGACCCGAUUGGGUGUGAUGGAGCAGCUCAUCCUUCGGGAUGGAUGACAGAGACAAGCUCUGCAAAAUAUAUGAAAUAUUUUGUUCUACAUGCUCGCUGCUCAAAAGAACGCCCUUGCUUGGUUUUGAUUGAUAAUCACAGUUCACGUCUCGAUUAUGAAGUUCUUGAUUAUUGAAAAGAUAAUGGAAUCGCCUUUCUAUCUUUUCAAGCGCAUUGUAGCCACAAGCUGCAGUCUUUAGACAGAAGUGUUUAUUGGCCUUUUAAAAAGUUCGUGAAUUCAGCAUGUGAUGCAUGGGUUACCAAUAAUAAACGGCCUAUGACUAUUUACGACAUCCCAUCUAUAGUUUGAAUAGCACUUCCAAAUGCUGUAACUCACAAUAACAUAACCAGUGGAUUCAAGGUAACUGGGAUCAAUCCCGUUAACAAAAAUAUUUUUACUGACAGUGAUUUUAUGCCUUCCUACACUGAAAACAGUCCAUCAACUCGAGCUGAGAUAUAAGUAAGAACGUUUCCAGCUACAGAGGUCAGACCUUUUGAAAACGCAGAACCCAGAAAAAGUAUGGGAGCAGGGAAAAGGAAAAGAGUUUCUGCUAUAGUGACAGACACUCCAGUAAAAAAAAAAAGUCCUCGAGGAAGAACAAAAACGUGCAAAAGAAAAGAAGGCGAAAGCAUUGGAAAGAAAACUUAAAUCACAGGCUAAAAAAGCACUUUUUCAAAAAAAAAAGUAGGAGCAAUGGUAGAAUGAAAUCAAAUGCAGUAGGCCUAAAACGCAAGAAGAAGCCAAUGGAAGAUGACAAUGAUGAAGAUGAUAACAAUGAGGAAGAUGAAGAUUCACUGUGCCUAAGGUGUCUCAAGCCUUUUUCAAAUACUCAGCCUGGAGCACAAACUGCAAGCGUUGGGCUCAUCAGAUAUGCAUUAAAAAUGAAAUUCGUAGACUAUUUUAUAAGUGUUAUAACUGUGCUGAUCCUUUGGAUGUGAACAGUGAUUAAAGUUGAUUGGUUUUUAUUAAGACACUAUAAUUCCUAAUAAUUUUAAGCUUUCCCAUUGUCAUAAUAAAAUCUUAAGAAUUUCACUCAAUAAUCAACUUGAUUUGAUGUACAUUAAAGUAUGUUUCUUGAUAACUAUUACUUAUAUUUUGAUAUCCUAAAGUUAUACUCUAGGCCAACUUUCCCCGAGGUUGGGGCAGAUUGGCUCGCUUGACAUAUGUCCAGUAAUUAAUUUUUUUUAACUUUUUAACUCAUAUUUUCAAGGUUAAUAAUUGUGAUCCAGAUUCAGUAUGACUGCCCUAAAUAUUUAUCAAUAAUUUCAUAAAUUUAAAGAUGUAAAAAAA